GACGAACGCUGGCGGCGUGCCUAAUACAUGCAAGUCGAGCGGACUUUCAAGAAGCUUGCUUUUUGAAAGUUAGCGGCGGACGGGUGAGUAACACGUGGGCAACCUGCCUGCAAGACGGGGAUAACUCCGGGAAACCGGGGCUAAUACCGGAUAAUAUCUUCCUUCGCAUGAAGGAAGGUUGAAAGGCGGCGCAAGCUGCCGCUUGCAGAUGGGCCCGCGGCGCAUUAGCUAGUUGGUGAGGUAACGGCUCACCAAGGCGACGAUGCGUAGCCGACCUGAGGGGGGGAUCGGCCACACUGGGACUGAGACACGGCCCAGACUCCUACGGGAGGCAGCAGUAGGGAAUCUUCCGCAAUGGACGAAAGUCUGACGGAGCAACGCCGCGUGAGCGAAGAAGGUCUUCGGAUCGUAAAGCUCUGUUGUCAGGGAAGAACAAGUACCGUUCGAACAGGGCGGUACCUUGACGGUACCUGACCAGAAAGCCACGGCUAACUACGUG
rnacentral:rRNA from 1 species